CCUCUUUCUCUGCUUCUGAUCCUCAUGUGAGCUGCUUCCCUCUGCCACACUCCUCUGCCAUGAUGUUCAGCCUCACCUUGAGCCUUUAGGAAUGAAGUUUGCUAUCUAUGGAUUGAGACUUCUGAAAAGCUCAGCACCUGCAAGAGAUGGAGAUUCUGCCUGAGUAUGAAAAUUGAGAGUUUUGCCAUUGUGCUACCUGCUACAUCGUUGAGAGAACACAGUACAAAGGACUGUGACCAGGUCCUGGACAGAGAUGAGGAAGAAUCUUGAUUCUCCAAACAAGCAAGGAGACAAGUAGCCACAAAAGACACCCACAGGGACACAAGUUUUCUUCCUGUUCCUGCUGAAGCUUCUGAGGGUCUAAACUUCUACUUUGAGGAAGGAAUUCAUCCUGUAAAAUGUGCCAUUGUGGUGCCAGAGGACAGGCCCUAGUACCACUGAUAUCACCGCCAGUCACCACUCAGAUCCUGUCAUUCUCAUUUCUGUGCAUUAUUCUAUUUACAAAAGUC